CUCGAUUGAAGCUUUUGCUUAUUGUAUUUACUAAUCUCAAGUAUUGGAAAGCCACAUAUGACAAUUUUCCUGUCCUUGAGAGCCUUGGGCUUAGACAUUCCGGUUGUUUGAAAGAGAUACCCAUUGAGUUCGCAGAAAUCAACUCACUUCAACUGAUUGAGUUAACAGGGUGCCUUCCCGAACUUGGGGAAUCUGCUGCACGAAUUCAACAAGAACAAGAAGAUCUCGGAAACAACCCCGUGGAUGUUCGUAUCUCCUAUCCAUCUUUUGGAAAACAGAAGACAAGGAGAGGACGAGCAACAAGAGUAUUCAAUCGGUUUCUAUCCUAUAUGGGGAGUUUGAUUCGAUAAAUUUAUAUGUUGUAAUGUCUUCUAGCUUGUUAAUUCUUGUAGUUGUGUACUUUUUCUCCUUCAUGGAGCAAUUUAUAUUGUAUAUGUUUGACGAUAUACUCUUUGGGAUCAACUCUUCGAGAGAAGUAAUAGAGUAGCUCGUGUUCUUAAA